GAACUACAAUUUUUUUUUAUUAUUAUUUGUAGGAGAGUGAAAUCCAUAAAUUUAUAGAGAGCAUAGCUCUGUACACCGGGAGAAGCUGGCGGAACAACCUCAAUUCAAAGGCGAAAAUUGCAGCAUACAAGAUUUGUUGGUUGGAGUCUGGAUUACUUUGAUUCCAACAUUCUUCUAGUUAUGGAUCAAGCCAUUGCAACUCCUUAUUUUUAUUGAAGAAAAAAUAGUAAAGAAGUCCUCUCUAAAACUCCUAAACUCAAUCCAUCACUAUCAACACCUUUACCCCAACUUCUGCAAUCGAUGAAGAAUCCAUGAUAAAAACUCCACCAUCAAUAAACCAAUAAAAAGAAAAGGCAAUUGCUCUAUUUUGUAAUGUUUUCUUGAUACCUCAUAUUAACGAUUUACGCUUCCUUUGUUUGCAGCCCUUCCCUUUGAUUUUUUUUUUUUUUUU
rnacentral:misc_RNA from 1 species